rnacentral:hammerhead_ribozyme from 1 species
GCACUGAUGAAGAGUCCAACAAUAGGACGAAACGGUCGUUCAGUGC